rnacentral:rRNA from 1 species
UACAGAGGUGCCAAGCGUUAGGCGGAAUCACUGGGCUUAAAGCGCGUGUAGGCGGGUCGUUAAGUGUCCGAGUGAAAUCCCACGGCUCAACCGUGGAACUGCCGGGCAUACUGGCGAUCUUGAGGCAUUCAGGGGGCGAGCGGAACAAAUGGUGGAGCGGUGAAAUGCGUAGAUAUCAUUUGGAACGCCAAUGGUGAAAACAGCUCGCUGGGAAUGAUCUGACGCUGAGACGCGAAAGCCAGGGGAGCGAACGGG